GCUUUUGUGGUGUAACGGUAGCACACUCGUCGCGUAUGCGAAAGGUCUAGGUUCGAGCCCAGCGACGGCA
rnacentral:tRNA from 1 species